AGAGUUUGAUCCUGGCUCAGGAUGAACGCUGGCGGUCUGCUUAACACAUGCAAGUCGAACGCAACCUUCGGGUUGAGUGGCGGACGGGUGAGUAACGCGUGAGAAUCUGCCUUAGGGUCGGGGACAACCACUGGAAACGGUGGCUAAUACCGGAUAAGCCGAUUGGUGAAAGAUUUAUUGCCCGAAGAGGAGCUCGCGUCUGAUUAGCUAGUUGGUGAGGUAAGAGCUCACCAAGGCAGCGAUCAGUAGCUGGUCUGAGAGGACGAUCAGCCACACGGGGACUGAGACACGGCCCAGACUCCUACGGGAGGCAGCAGUGGGGAAUUUUCCGCAAUGGGCGAAAGCCUGACGGAGCAAGACCGCGUGAGGGAGGAAGGCUCUUGGGUUGUAAACCUCUUUUCUCAGGGAAGAAGCUCUGACAGUACCUGAGGAAUCAGCCUCGGCUAACUCCGUGCCAGCAGCCGCGGUAAUACGGAGGAGGCAAGCGUUAUCCGGAAUUAUUGGGCGUAAAGCGUCCGCAGGUGGCGAUUCAAGUCUGCUGUCAAGGCACGGGGCUUAACUCCGUUAAGGCAGUGGAAACUGAAGAGCUAGAGUGCCGUAGGGGUAGAGGGAAUUCCCGGUGUAGCGGUGAAAUGCGUAGAGAUCGGGAAGAACAUCGGUGGCGAAAGCGCUCUACUGGACGGCAACUGACACUCA
rnacentral:rRNA from 1 species